rnacentral:lncRNA from 1 species
UACGGUACAGAGUCAAUGUGGAGGCUAUAUACAGGGUGUACCGGUACAGAGUCAAUGUGGAGGCUAUAUACAGGGUAUUACGGUACAGAGUCAAUGUGGAGGCUAUAUACAGGGUGUACCGGUACAGAGUCAAUGUGGAGGCUAUAUACAGGGGGUACCGGUACAGAGUCAAUGUGGAGGCUAUAUACAGGGUAUUACGGUACAGAGUCAAUGUGGAGGCUAUAUACAGGGUCAAUGUGGAGGCUAUAUACAGGGUAUUACGGUACAGAGUCAAUGUGGAGGCUAUAUACAGGGUGUACCGGUACAGAGUCAAUGUGGAGGCUAUAUACAGGGUAUUACGGUACAGAGUCAAUGUGGAGGCUAUAUACAGGGUCAAUGUGGAGGCUAUAUACAGGGUAUUACGGUACAGAGUCAAUGUGGAGGCUAUAUACAGGGGGUACCGGUACAGAGUCAAUGUGGAGGCUAUAUACAGGGGGUACCGGUACAGAGUCAAUGUGGAGGCUAUAUACAGGGGGUACCGGUACAGAGUCAAUGUGGAGGCUAUAUACAGGGGGUACCGGUACAGAGUCAAUGUGGAGGCUAUAUACAGGGUAUUACGGUACAGAGUCAAUGUGGAGGCUAUAUACAGGGUAUUACGGUACAGAGUCAAUGUGGAGGCUAUAUACAGGGGGGUGCCGGUACAGAGUCAAUGUGGAGCCUAUAUACAGGGGGGUGCCGGUACAGAGUCAAUGUGGAGGCUAUAUACAGGGGGGUGCCGGUACAGAGUCAAUGUGGAGGCUAUAUACAGGGGGGUGCCGGUACAGAGUCAAUGUGGAGGCUAUAUACAGGGUAUUAUGGUACAGAGUCAAUGUGGAGGCUAUAUACAGGGGGUACCGGUACAGAGUCAAUGGGGAGGCUAUAUACAGGGUGUACCGGUACAGAGUCAAUGUGGAGGCUAUAUACAGGGGGGUACCGGUACGGAGUCAAUGUGGAGGCUAUAUACAGGGGGGUGCCGGUACAGAGUCAAUGUGGAGGCUAUAUACAGGGUAUUACGGUACAGAGUCAAUGUGGAGGCUAUAUACAGGAGGUACCGGUACGGAGUCAAUGUGGAGACUAUAUACAGGUGGUACCGGUACAGAGUCAAUGUGGAGGCUAUAUACAGGGUGUUACGGUACAGAGUCAAUGUGGAGGCUAUAUACAGGGGGUACCGGUACAGAGUCAAUGUGGAGGCUAUAUACAGGGGGUACCGGUACAGAGUCAAUGUGGAGGCUAUAUACAGGUGGUACCGGUACAGAGUCAAUGUGGAGGCUAUAUACAGGGGGUUACCGGUACAGAGUCAAUGUGGAGGCUAUAUACAGGGGGUACCGGUACAGAGUCAAUGUGGAGGCUAUAUACAGGAGGUACCGGUACAGAGUCAAUGUGGAGGCUAUAUACAGGGGGGUAGCAGUACAGAGUCAAUGUGGAGGCUAUAUACAGGAGGUACCGGUACAGAGUCAAUGUGGAGGCUAUAUACAGGGUGUUACGGUACAGAGUCAAUGUGGAGGCUAUAUACAGGGGGUACCGGUACAGAGUCAAUGUGGAGGCUAUAUACAGGGGGUACCGGUACAGAGUCAAUGUGGAG